ACGCACAAAUCGAGAAAUGGUCCAAAUUUUUUUCCCUUCUUUUCUUCGAUUUUCUUGUUUUUUUUUCCUCUGCUUUUUUAUAUUUUUUUCAUCAAUUGAUUGCGUUGCUUCGGCUGUUCUUCAGCACUGCCCAGUUCCGCUACCGGAAUCAACAUCUUAAGAUUGAGUGAUGCACAAACCUAACCAGGAAAUAUACAACAGAAGACUCAAAACAAGCUGCCGUGCUAUGUGUAUCUUGGAAGCUUUUUGCAACAUGGAAUAUGGAGUGACUUGGAGUCCAAAUACAGGAUGUCCAAACUCAUGUUGUCUAUGGUUGAAAAAUUUGGUUUAUUUGGCUGACAACAUAAAACAGUGAUAAGAAAAAUUCUUGGAGAAGUUCAAAUGUGAAAUAAAUUGGCUUUUGGCUACUUUACUAUGCCUUAAAACUGUUAUAUAGUGAUCCUACGGAGGUUUUAAGACUGACGAAAAGUCCAUUAGUGAAAGGAAUGCGGCCAUUGUGCAACUCCUUAAUUGUUGCAUGGCAUGCGUUCAUUUUGACCAAUCAACCACGUUGUUCAAUCCUAUACCUUUUCUUCCUGCAAGUGAAAAUAAGAAAAAGAAAGAUUACCACUGCAGGUGUAGCAAUUAGCAUAAUGAUAAGAAGUAAGAGUGACAGAACUACUGCAGGAAAGAGGUCCUGGUAUGGCAUAAUGGAUCACAGCGAAUUUGAUGAUUUGUUUACAUGGGCACAAAAAGUUUGUGGUGUUUGUGAUCCUAUGUCUGACAUUUUCUCUGCUUCACUUCAUCUAAGAAAAUUUUUAUUUCUUUUGUUUCAAAGGGAGUGAGAGAUUGUAAAUAGAGAUCAGGAAUUGGGAGGCUAAGCAUUUUAUUGUGAAUAAACCAAAUGCCAUAUGGUUAUGGGCCUCGAAUUGCAUGCAUGACACAUGCAAUCAAACGUUAAUGCUUAAUCAUAUGGAUGGUGGUGCUAAGUUGUUGAGUCAAAGUAAUUGCUCUUUAUAUAUCUUCGGUUAUAUUGCAUCGAUGAAUAUUUAAGGUUUUCCUUUAAUGUUUAUAAUUUUUUAUUAUCUUACACUCAUAUUUUCAGGAUUCUUUCUUGAACUGCGUGGUUUUUUAGGGCUGUUUUUAUCAUUGUGUGUCCUUUUUAAUAAUAUGAAGUGCUGUUCUAGAAAAUUGUUCCUUUGUUACAUUCUUUAGUCUUUUGACAUGCAAUUGUGCUUCAUUUUCUUUUCUCUAAAUGAAUUCCUAUCUUUAAAUGUGGUGGAAAUUUGGUUAGGGUUGCUUUCAAAUUGGACAACUACAAGGCCCGAGCCUCGUCUAUCUAAAUCCCAAAUGACCAGAGCUUGGAUUUUAAACAGCACUACUUAUUUGAUCUUAAGGAUAUUUUUCUCCAUUCUAUAUCUGUCUCAGUACAGUAGAAGGAAUUUUUGGCUGCUUUUGAGGUCAAUAAAGCAGCUACUCAGGAUGCCAGCAGUUCUACUGUCAGCAUUUGAUAACGGAUCCUGGAUUCUAGUAACAUACUGUUACGUUAUUUAAGGGCUCUGGCGUUGGUUCUUGGAAGCAUGGGGAAUCAUCAUCAUCUUCUGUUGUUUUCCAGUGGCCUAUUUAACACUCCCAGCUGGACAAUGACUGAAUUCUCAGUUUCAAUUGGGGAGAUGCAAGAAAAAUACAAGGAGAUGAAAACAUGCUCUUGUCAUUUUAUGCAAUUGAUGUGACUUUAGUGCAUAAGGAACCUAUGAUGUAGUAGCGAGACUGAGAUGAUAAGGUAAAAAAGCUGAAGAGCAAGUGGCAGAUGCCUGAAGGGUAUGGUUGUAAACUGUAAGCGGAUUCACAGGCUUGAGCUAUGCCGCUGAUUCUAAACUCUUGUGACAAGGUCUGGCUAAUAAUGAAUUGAUGAAAAUCAUAAUUUUCUGCUUGUACA